GAUGAACGCUGGCGGCGUGCUUAAGACAUGCAAGUCGAGCGGCAACAUGUUUCUCACUAAGGUUCGAAACGGUAGAUAGUAGGCAAUAGUUUGUAGUUGGGUUAGCCCAUCUACCAUCUGUUAACUGCCAACUACCAAAGUUCCGAGCUUUAGUGAGGAACGAUGGCGAGCGGCGGACGGCUGAGUAACGCACAGGAACGUACCCACGAGUGA
rnacentral:rRNA from 1 species